UUGAAUUUUAAUGAAGAGUUUGGUUGUAGCUGGCCCAUUCAUUUGGGCAUGUGCACACCUUCCUCUUUCAUCCCACACACACCUGUGAACCUGUGAGACAGAGAUGGGGAAUUUACUUGCUGCUUUUUGGAAUACAAAGGCAAUAGGUUAUUGGACCCCCCCUCUGUCUACUCAAUUAAUAUAAACUCAAUUUAUUUUAAAACGAAUGUAAUGGAUGCAACACAUCUCAUAC
rnacentral:misc_RNA from 1 species